GACGAACGCUGGCGGCGUGCCUAAUACAUGCAAGUAGAACGCUGAAGCUUGGUGCUUGCACCGAGCGGAUGAGUUGCGAACGGGUGAGUAACGCGUAGGUAACCUGCCUGGUAGCGGGGGAUAACUAUUGGAAACGAUAGCUAAUACCGCAUAACAGUAGAUAUCGCAUGAUAGCUACUUGAAAGGUGCAAAUGCACCACUACCAGAUGGACCUGCGUUGUAUUAGCUAGUUGGUGAGGUAACGGCUCACCAAGGAAACGAUACAUAGCCGACCUGAGAGGGUGGUCGGCCACACUUGGACUGAGACACGGCCCAGACUCCUACGGGAGGCAGCAGUAGGGAAUCUUCGGCAAUGGACGGAAGUCUGACCGAGCAACGCCGCGUGAGUGAAGAAGGUUUUCGGAUCGUAAAGCUCUGUUGUAAGAGAAGAACGAGUGUGAGAGUGGAAAGUUCACACUGUGACGGUAUCUUACCAGAAAGGGACGGCUAACUACGUG
rnacentral:rRNA from 1 species